UACGUAGGGUGCGAGCGUUGUCCGGAAUUAUUGGGCGUAAAGAGCUUGUAGGCGGUUUGUCGCGUCUGCUGUGAAAAUCCGGGGCUCAACCCCGGACUUGCAGUGGGUACGGGCAGACUAGAGUGUGGUAGGGGAGACUGGAAUUCCUGGUGUAGCGGUGGAAUGCGCAGAUAUCAGGAGGAACACCGGUGGCGAAGGCGGGUCUCUGGGCCGUAACUGACGCUGAGGAGCGAAAGCGUGGGGAGCAAACAGG
rnacentral:rRNA from 1 species